GAAGGCAAAUGAUGAAAAUAAUCUUAUGCUAAUGCUGAAAAGUAAUGUAGACACAACUCCGCUUAUUAUCUGAUGCCUUC